AUGGCGGCGUUCCUCGACGUCGAGCAAGUGGUGCCACCCAUGACCAUUGAGGUCACCGGCGCCGACGGGAAGACCAAGUCUCAGGCCCCCAACCUGGAGUUUGGCGUGUGGUAUGCGCGCGAUCAGCAGGUAUUCUCAUAUCUGCUGACCACGCUACUGCGCGAGAUGGCCGUCCAGGUGGCAACUUGCCACACCGCAGCAGAGCUGUGGAAUACCGUGCAGGGGAUGCUCACAUCGCAAACGAGAGCACAAACUGUGAACGUCAGGAUCGCCCUUUCCAACCUUCAGAAGGGAAACUCCACGAUCACUAAGUACGUUGGUAAGGUCAGAACUCUCUCUGAUGAACUCGUUGCUUCAGGAAAGAAGGUGCAUGAAGAGGAUGUUGUGUCCCACAUCCUUGCUGGACUCGAUGAGGAGUUCGACCCCGUGGUGUCGGCCAUGUGCUCUAGUCAAGGUCCUGGAGCUGUACUCGCAACUCCUGAGCUUCGAAACCCGCAUGAAUCUUCGUGGUGCGUCCUCCCAAUCGUCUGCAAAUGCAGUCAGUCGUGGGCGCUUCAACAACAAAAACGGCGACAGCAGUGGUGA
rnacentral:rRNA from 1 species